CGGGGUGAGUAACGCGUGGAUAACCUGCCUCACACAGGGGGAUAACAGUUAGAAAUGACUGCUAAUACCGCAUAAGCGCACAGUACCGCAUGGUACAGUGUGAAAAACUCCGGUGGUGUGAGAUGGAUCCGCGUCUGAUUAGGUAGUUGGUGAGGUAACGGCCCACCAAGCCGACGAUCAGUAGCCGACCUGAGAGGGUGACCGGCCACAUUGGGACUGAGACACGGCCCAA
rnacentral:rRNA from 1 species